CAAGCAGUUACCAUGUGCCAUGUGUGGUGAUGGAGAUCACGGAGGUAAACUGUUUCGUUGUAAAACUUUCAGAAAAGCCAAUCUGUCAGAGAAGAAAGCUCAAGUGAAAAAGGUAAAAGCAUGUACAAAGUGUUUGGAUGUUCACGGGGUCGAGAGUGACUGCACUCCAAAGUUUCUCUGUCGUAAAGAAGAGUGUAAGAUAGGCGACACUCCAGCGGACCACCACUAUUUCCUUUGCUCUAAGGCGUCAUCAAAGAAGGACACUGCUAAAAGGGAAAAUAAAACAGAGGAAAAGAGGGGAGCUCGAGGUCCGACAGAGGAGCAAGAGGCUGUGUUCGCCGAGUUGGGACUGACUCCCCACCAGUUGGAAGCUGUCCGCAGAGCCUGUACUAACAAGGCAACGUCGACAGUCUGUCCUGGCAAGAGUCUGAUAGAACAGAGUGGCUUGAAAGAACAUCCAGUCCUUAUGAUGCUCGUACCUGUCAGGACAAAGAGAGGAGACAGCCUUGGAGCUUUGGUCGAUCUCGCUUCUGACACAAAUUACAUUACACACCAAGCUGCGGAAAGGCUCGGAUUGAACGGUGAACCGGUCUCCCUUGUCGUGUAUGGUGUCGGUACGAUGAAGGUUAGAGUUGAUACAAGAAGGUAUCUCGUGAAAAUAAAAGUGUGGACCUCCCGAGGAACCCUGAAACUCCACGAGAUGAUUUGCUAUGGGAUGGAAGACAUCGCCAAAGUGGAUCGAGUGGUGAAAUCGGAGCGACUAGAGCAGUUUUUCCCUGAAGUAAAGCCGGGAGAACUGGACCGCCCAAAAAAGAUUGAUCUAUUAAUCAGCACUCGUGAAGGCCGAUUAGCUCCGCAAAGACUGCAAAGGGUCGGCGAUCUAGUGUUGUGGGAUGGUCCUCUGGGCAAGAUUGUGAGUGGUGUGCAUCCUGACCUCUUCGAAGAAGUGGAGGUGGCUGCAUGGCAGUCGAAGACACACUUCGCUCAUUCAAUGAGGACAGUAGCCGUCAAAGUUGAAGAACACUUCAUGGUAAGGCCAGGAGGCCAUUUGGAGCAAGAAAACAGAGUAGAAGUUCGAACAACAGCAGCAUGCAAUAAAGAGGUCCUUGAGUGGCUAAAGUGGGACAGCAUCGGUGCUGCCUGUGAUCCUAUCUGUGGAGGAUGUCGCUGUGGAAAGUGCUCGCCAGGAGGAAAGGAGAUGUCCCUGGCUGAUGAGAAAGAGCUGGAGAUAAUAAAGGCAGGUCUAACCUUCAGAGAGAGAGACGCUCACAGCGACCAGCCCCACUGGGAUGCGAAGUAUCCCUGGAAGGAAAACCCAGUCUCUCUUCCUAACAACCGAAAGGCUGUGGAAGCAACGUUUCUGAGGACUGAGAAGCGGCUCAUGAGAGACCCUCUGUGGAAAGAGGCUUACAUGAGGCAAGUCCACGAGAUGGUAGAGAGGGGAGCUGCUGUCAAGCUCACUAAGGAUGUUAUGGACAGCUGGAAAGGUGCUAUGUGGUGGGUGAGUCACCUAACUGCCCCAAACCCCCAUUCAGUGACUACACCAGUACGACUCGUCUGGAAUAGUAGCCAGGAGUUUGGAGGGGUUAGCAUGAAUAGCAUUUUGCUUAAAGGCCCAGACGUCUUAAAUCCCAUCAGAGCGGUGCUCCUCAGAUUUCGGGUGGGAGAACAUGCGGCCAUCGGAGAUAUCACCAAGAUGUAUAAUUCAGUCUGGCUGGAGGAACAGGAAGUCCAUGUGCAUCGAUUCCUAUGGAGGGACUCACCGGAGGAUGAAAUUGAAGAUUACGCUGUCGUGAGGGUGAACAUGGGGGAUAAACCUGCGGGGUGUAUUGCGCAGGUUGCCAUGCGAGAGACCGCAAGGUUACCCCAGUUCUCUGAGAUGAAGGAGGAAAGAAGGGUAAUCGAGGAAGACUCCUAUGUCGAUGAUCUCCUCACGUCCCACAAUGACCCACACCGUCUAAACAAGAUUCAAGAGGGAGUGGAGAAGAUACUAAAAACAGGAGGCUUCUACCUCAAGCCUUGGAUCCGGUCUGGUCAAAGUGGGAGGAGAGAAGGGACAGAGUCCAAGCCAGUGACUCUGACAUUGCCCAACCAGUUAAGGGAGGAAGAUAACAAAGCCUUGGGGGUUGGUUACCUUGUGCAAGAGGACAAGCUCUUUGUGAUGGUCUCUAUCAACUUCUCUAGUAGGAAGAAGAAGAUGAGAACUGAGAUUGACCUCACUGAAGGGGAAGUAGAAAUAAAAACACCAAACCCACUUACUCGUCGUGUUCUACUGAGCCAAAUCGCUGGACUGUAUGACCCGAUCGGUCUAGUAACUCCUGUGAAACAGAAAGGAGUAAUCCUUGUGAGAAGAGCCUUCCAGGAAGCUGGCAAGCUUUCUAAAGAUACCUGGGAUGAACCUCUGUCUGACGAGCUCAGGGGAAAGGCAAUUGAGCUGUUCAAGGAAUAUGCUCGUCUAAGUAACAUUAAGUUCUACAGAAGCCUUACUCCUUCUGGCUGGAAGGGUAGACCUUGGGGAAUCACGUUUUCUGACGGGAGCUGUGAGUCCUAUGGUGCAGUACUGUACUUACGAUGGGAGACGUCAGAUGGUGUGGUCACUCGGCUGGUAGAGUCAAAGGCCAAGUUAACUCCUCUCAACCAGAAAGGUGAUGCAGUCAUGGCUGAGGUAUGUGGUGCUGUCUUUGCCUCACGUCUGAAAGUAUACGUGUUGAAGCAUGGACGAUUGGAAGUGAAGAAGUGGUAUCAUUUCAUUGACAGUCAGACGGUGCUUGGAGCUAUCCAGAGAGAGAGCUAUGGUUUCCAGACAUUCUUUGCGAACCGAAUUGGGGAGAUUCAGAAGGCUGGGCCUGUAACUGACUGGUGGUGGAUACCAGGCGAAGUCAACGUCGCUGAUCUAGUCACGAGAGGGUGCUCUCCUGAACUGCUGGGUGAGAAUUCUGUGUGGCAGAAAGGUCCCGAGUUUCUGUCUAGUCCAGUCGAGGAUUGGCCCAUAAAGUCCGCCUCAGAAGUGGCAGCUGAUGCUAGAGAGGUAGUGAGUAGACUCCAGAGGAAAGCCUUUUCAGCAGUCCUUACCAGAGUUCAAGCCAAGAAAUUAUUAAAUCCUGGCAGUCUUGGUGGUGAAGAUCCAAUAGUCACCGAUGGAGUUAGCGGGACUUCAGUGUCCUCAGAAAAGGGGAUGAAAGUGACCUUAACUGAGACUAAAGAGGGGGAGACUCUGUGGGGAGCCGCGCUCAUAGACCAAGUGGAUCCAACAAGGUGCAGUUCUCUUACUAGACUUUGUGGAAUAGUUGGUUAUGUCCGCAGAGCUGUAAAGAAAUGGUUGGCCCGUGUAGGCAGGGCCUCCAAGGCAGUAAAGUGGGAGGCAGUAUUAACAGUAAAGGAACGCAAGGCCGCAUUCCAAGACCUGUGCUUAGCCGCACAAAAUGGAGUUACGUUUCCUGUGACGACACUAAACAGGCUCGUUGUCAGCAGGGAUGAGGCUUCAGGGCUCCUGAGAUGUCAUGGUAGAUUCCAGGAUUUGACCCAGGAAGAGAUUGGUGUACCUUUGGUUCCCUACAAGGCAUGGAUCAGCACUCUUCUCACGAGAGAGGCCCACGAAGCUAACCACGAGGGGGUUGCUGGCACACACCUCCGUGUGAGAUCUAAAGCAUGGGUGGUAAGGGGUUCAAGGAUUGCCAGAAAUGUCGUUGAUUCUUGUAUUCAUUGUCGGAAGAUCAAAGCGAGAAUGUGUAAACAGGUGAUGGGUGAACUUCCCCUCGAACGAACUAAACCAGCCGCACCAUUCGAGUUUACGACGUUAGACCUUUUCGGUCCCUAUGUUGUUAAAGAUAAUGUAAAACGAAGAACGGAGAUGAAAAUCUGGGGUGUGGUGUUCAGCUGUAUGGCUUCAAGGGCAGUACAUGCUGACAUUGUAGAGGAUCUGUCGACAGAAGGGUUCCUGAAAGCAUACCAGCGCUUCACGGCUCUCAGGGGUCACCCAAGAAAGCUCUGGUCGGACCAAGGGACCAACUUUGUGGGUGCCAGACCAGUAUUACAGGAGCUUUAUGAGUUCCUAAGUAACAUCGACAAGGAUCAGGUCCAAAAGGAAGCGGUAGUUAAAGGAACCGACUGGACGUGGGUGUUUCACCCAGCAGACUCUCCCCACCGAAAUGGAGCAGCUGAGGCAGCAGUUCGUGUACUCAAGAGGGCAUUAAGUAGUGUUGGUAAGGGAUGUAAUCUGACAGCACUGGAGUUCCAGACCCUUCUUUACCUGGCUGCUAAUCUGUCAAAUGAGAGACCUAUCGGUGCUAGAGCUCAGGUACAAGAUGAGACCGUGGAAGUAAUCACUCCCAACACACUUCUGCUUGGUCGUGCAGGACCCAAGGGGGACUCCCGAGGGUUUGAGUAUCCAACUUACCCCGUUGUGCGUCUGAGAACAAUCCAGAUUGAAGUUGAUAAGUUUUGGAAGCGGUGGAGUCAGCUGGCAGGUCCAAACCUCUACAUUCGCCAGAAGUGGCACGCGCCUGCUAGAAAUGUUGCAGCGGGUGAUCUGGUAUGGUUAGCUGAUCAGAACGCACUGAGGGGCCAGUUCAGGCUGGGUCGAGUCGUGGAGGUGUGUCCUGAUGUGAGGGGUGUAGUACGAGAUGUGAGAGUGACAACAUGUCGAAGUUGUCCAGUUUCCGGCAGACAGUCCAAGAGGAACCGGAGUGAGGGGAACUAUCCCUCCACCAUCCUCCACAGGGAUGUUAGGAGGUUAGUGGUUCUGCUUCCAGUGGAGGAGCAGUAAUGGAUCCCCACCAUGGUGUGUUUCGGUAAAGGAUCCCCACCAUGGUGCAUUUCAGUAAAGGAUCCCCACCAUGGUGCCUUUCGGUAAAGGAUCCCCAUCACGGUGUGUUUCGGUGAAGGAUCAAGACUACCUCGAGGCUGGUAGUGUGUUUCGGUAAAGGAGGUCGUAAUAUCAUCAAGAACAAUGUGUGUUGUUUGGAUAUUAAAACUUCCUUGAGGAUAUAAUUAUUCAUGUUGCAAGUGGGAGGUGUAGAACUUUCCAGCAGGUGUCACUACUGUUUGCGUAUGUAUAUUACAAGUGAUGGAUGUUAUUUUUAUAUUCUUGGGUAUUUUAAGAAAUAAGUGUACAUUUAUCAUCUUAUUCUAAAUGCAGGCACGUUUAUGUUAUAUUUCAUAUAUGUUAUUAUCGUACUAGUUCGCAGAUACAGUAUGUUUUAUUAUUGUUCCUAGUCACCAGAUUGUGUAUCUGUAUAUGCGUAGUUAGUGAGUGCACAGGCGCCGC
ensembl:lncRNA